rnacentral:SRP_RNA from 1 species
GCCGAGUUCAGUAGCGUGAGCUUGUAACCCGAGCGGGGGGCACAUGGAUGGGUUCGGACGUUAGGUUAUGCGGGGUCGGGUCUGGGUGCGCCGGAGCGAUUUGUUGGCUCGCCCGAUCCAAGUUGGGUAGUGGGCCACGUGGCUCUUGCGAAGGCAGGAUGCCACGUGGCACCUAGAGUGGAGGGCAAAGCGUGAGGCUGGUUUCACAGAGCAGCGAUUACCUCCCGCUCCUAACGGUGGGCGGAUAACGGGCCGCUGCUCCGCGCACCCGCUAUGAUCCAGCCCCGUACCGCAAAUGGACGGCCCAUCUUU